AAUAUGGCAUUGUGUACUGACGAACAACACAGCAAUCUCAGAACUUCCGUAGACCUGUUUUUCACUUACGUUUGUCAUUACGCCUGUGUGGUGUUCUGUGCUCAUUAAAAACGAGCGAAAAUGAGUCAUCUUUCACCGUGCAACCUCCCAGAGAUUUCCCCGGAUGCUGUCAGUGGCUUGCGGCUAUCGAGAAUGAUGGCGCGCAUUAUUAAGGUGACCAAAGAUUAUCAGAGGUGUUUUCAGGCUGAACUGUUGGGGAAUCCAUUUCGACGACAGCUGAGAAGUGAUGCGAUACCAUCGAUUUUGUAUUUUUUAUUUCCUUCACAACAAAAUGCAAGAUUCUCGAUAAGAGGUGGUACAGAAUCGGCUUCCAACCCCAACUCUGCAGGUGAAGGCAAGUUGGCAAAAAUAUUUACAAGCUGACGACUAAGAGAGCUCAAUUUAAAGUACACAUGGUAUUAACAUGAAUUGGGUAGUUUUUGUUUUGCUUGUUAUGGGGUUACAGGUGGUUAAAGGUAACCAGAGGACCACAGAGUACCUUCCAGACCAUGCAAUUAAUAAUAUUUUAUUAUUUUUACCUUUUUAACUAGGCAAGUCGGUUAAGAACAAAUUCUUAUUUACAAUGACGGCCUACUGGAGAACAGUGGGGUAACUGCCUUGUUCAAGGGCAGAACAGAUGUUUACCUUGUCAGCUUGGGCGAUCCAAUCUUGCAACCUUACAGUUAACUUGUCCAACGCAAUAACGACCUGCCUCUCUCGAUCUCCACACUGCCUGUUACGCGAAUGCAGUAAGCCAAGGUAAGUUGCUAGCUAGCAUUAAACUUAUCUUAUAAAAAACAAUCAUAAUCACUAGUUAACUACACAUGGUUGAUAUUACUAGAUAUUAUCUAGCGUGUCCUGCGUUGCAUAUAAUCUGACUGAGCAUACAGGUAUCUAAGUAUCUGACUGAGCGGUGGUAGGCAGAAGCAGGCGCGUAAACAUUAAUUCAAACAGCACUUUCGUGCGUUUUGCCAGCAGCUCUUCGUUGUGCGUCAAGCAUUGCACUGUUUAUGACUUCAAGCCUAUCAACUCCUGAGAUGAGGCUGGUGUAACCGAUGUGAAAUGGCUAGCUAGUUAGCUCGCGCUAAUAGCGUUUCAAAACGUCAAUCGCUCUGAGCCUGUGGUUGUUUCCCUUGCUCUGCAUGGGUAACGCUGCUUCGAGUGUGGCUGUUGUCGAUGUGUUCCUGGUUCGAGCCCAGGGAGGAGCGAGGAGAGGGACGGAAGCUAUAUUGUUACACUGGCAAUCCUAAAGUGACUAUAAGAACAUCCAAUAGUCAAAGGUUAAUGAAAUACAAAUGGUAUAGAAGGAAAUAGUCCUAUAAUAACUACAACCUAAAACUUCUUACCUGGGAAUAUUGAAGACUCAUGUUAAAAGGAACCACCAGCUUUCAUAUGUUCUGAGCAAGGAACAUAAACGUUAGCUUUCUUAAAUGGCACAUAUUGCACUUUUACUUACUUCUCCAACACUUUGUUUUUGCAUUAUUUAAACCAAAUUGAACGUUUCAUUAUUUACUUGAGGCUAAAUUGAUUUUAUUGAUGUAUUAUAUUAAGUUAAAAUAAGUGUUCAUUCAGUAUGGUUGUAAUUGUCAUUAUUACAAAUAAAUAAAUAUUGGCCUUUUUGGUCCUCCAAUAAUAGGUAUCGGCGUUGAAAAAUCAUAAUCGGUCGACCUCUAAUCUGGAGUUAUUCUAUGGUGCCCUGCUGAAGCAUACCCCCCAAAGUGUUGUAAUUUUGAGUACACAAGCAUGAGGGAGCAGACACACCUUAAGGUUAUGGAGCACAACAAGAUUUUGGGACACUGAAAGGUAUAAAAUCAAGACUACAACAGUAAUAACACAACCACUUCAUUCUUCUCAAAACACAGUACACAGACAUGUCUACAAAAAGCCCCUGCAAAUGGCUACUAUUGACCAGAAUUAUGUGUCAAUGGCCUGGGGGAGGUUUACAGACAGUACUUUGAGAUGAGGAAGGGGUUUUUGGUUUUGCAGGGUGGUGCUUAGACCAUCGUUUCCUAAACUUGGCCCUGGGGAUCCCAAGGGGUGCAUGUUUUGGUAGUUGCCUUAGCAAUACACAAGUGAUUCAAAUAAUGAAAUCUUCAUCAAGCUUUGGUUAUUCUAAUCAGCUAUGUCAUGCUAUGGCAAAAACCAAAGUGUACACUCCUUUGGGUUCCCAGGACUGAGUUUGGAAAUGCUGGCUUAGAAAGUAAAUGUAUUGUUGUGUAUCAGUGAUUGAGGUGCCAUUUCUCCUCAAACUCCCUGUGUAAGAAUUGCCCUCCUAAGACUUUUCACCCAUUCUUUAGCACCCCAGCCCAUUCACUUGGUUGACUGAUCUUUCCUCUCAAAGGCAGCUCCCAAUGUUCCCUCAUUGGCCCUUAACAAUAAGCUAGCCGGUCCCAUUUGGUUGACACCUUUACCAACAAAGGCGUGUUACCCUACGUCCCUUCCAAAAAUAUAAAAUGCUAACAUCACAACCAUGUCUUGACAGGAGACUUGCAGGACCAGCAAAUAUUCUGCAAGAGGCCCAAACAUGUGUUUUAAGAAGCCCUCCGCCACUUUCGUCAGAGUCUUAUCCAGCUGACCGUUCACCGCAGAGAGGACAAGACCAUUCGUCAUAAGCACAGAGUCUCAGCUUCCCCAGCCCACCAUGCUGAACACCACUGCCAGUGUACCGAAGCCAGAUAAAGGACUAUGGCUGCGUUUACACAGGUAGCCCAAUUCUGAUAUUUCUUUCCACAAAUUGUUAUUUUGUUAUAAUCAGAUCAGUUCUGAAAAGGCCAAUUAAUGGGAAGAAUAUCAGAAUUGGUCUGCCUUUGUAAAUGCAAUUUGUGUAGCGCAGCAAAAGACCAUGUAGAACCACUAGAAAAUAAAUAUGGAUAUUUUAUAUCAGUCUUCUAAAUUUGUCUGCCUUUAUGGAUUCACAGAAGAUAUUUAUAUAAGCUGUACAGGGCUCUAUAGCAUAAAACAUGCUUGGCGUCCAGAUAUGUCAAAAUAAAAAAUGCAGGGUAGUGUACACUAUUUAAUGCUACUGGGUAUUCAACAGCAAUGUUAUAUGGUAAAUGUAACAUCCAUUUUUUUUUUUAUUAACAGUGUGGCACAGUUCAGUGCAGGAGUAGCUUCGGGACAAGUCUCUAAAUGUCCUUAAGUGGCCCAGCCAGAGCCUGGACUUGAACCCAAUCCAAUAUCUCUGUAAGAGACCUGAAAAUAGCUGUGCAGCAAUGCUACCCAUCCAACCUGACAGUGCUUGACAGGAUCUGCAGAGAAGAAUGGGGGGGGGGGGAACUCCCCAAAAUACAGGUGUGCCAUGCUUGUACCAUCAUACCCAAGAAGACCCUAUGCUGUAAUUGCUGCCAAAGGUGCUUCAACAAAGUACUGAGUAAAGGAUCUUUAAUACUUAUGUAAAUGUGAUAUUUCUGUUCGUUUUUUGUAAAUUAGCAACAGCAACAAAAAAUAAACUGUUUGCUUUGUCAUGGGA